GAUGAAGAACGUAGCGAAAUGCGAUAAGUAGUGUGAAUUGCAGAAUUCAGUGAAUCAUCGAAUCUUUGAACGCACAUUGCGCCCCUUGGUAUUCCGGCGGGCAUGCCUGUUCGAGCGUCAUUUCAACCCUCAAGCCCCCGGGUUUGGUGUUGGGGAUCGGCUCUGCCCUUCUGGGCGGUGCCGCCCCCGAAAUACAUUGGCGGUCUCGCUGCAGCCUCCAUUGCGUAGUAGCUAACACCUCGCAACUGGAACGCGGCGCGGCCAUGCCGUAAAACCCCAACUUCUGAAUGUUGACCUCGGAUCAGGUAGGAAUACCCGCUGAACUUAAGCAUAUCAAUAAGCGGAGGA
rnacentral:misc_RNA from 1 species